GGUGGCUCAGUGGUAGAGCGUUUGCCUUGCAUGCAUGAGGCCCUGGGUUCGAUUCCCUCAGCACCA
rnacentral:tRNA from 1 species